GUAGGCGUAGCCAAGUGGUAAGGCAGUGGAUUGUGGCUUCACUAUUCGCGGGUUCAAGUCCCGUCGCUUACC
rnacentral:tRNA from 1 species